UACGAGUGCCCCGAGCGUUAUCCGGAAUCAUUGGGCGUAAAGGGUGCGCAGGUGGGUUUGCAAGUUCGAUGUGAAAGCCCCGGGCUUAACCCGGGAAUGGCAUUGGAUACUGCAGAUCUGGAGGAUCGGAGGGGGGACUGGAAUUCUUGGUGUAGCAGUGAAAUGCGUAGAUAUCAAGAGGAACACCAGUGGCGAAGGCGAGUCCCUGGACGAUACCUGACACUGAGGCACGAAAGCCGGGGGAGCAAACAGG
rnacentral:rRNA from 1 species